rnacentral:rRNA from 1 species
AUCUGCGAUAAGCGUCGGUAAGGUGAUAUGAACCGUUAUAACCGGCGAUUUCCGAAUGGGGAAACCCAGUGUGAUUCGUCACACUAUCAUUAACUGAAUCCAUAGGUUAAUGAGGCGAACCGGGGGAACUGAAACAUCUAAGUACCCCGAGGAAAAGAAAUCAACCGAGAUUCCCCCAGUAGCGGCGAGCGAACGGGGAGCAGCCCAGAGCCUGAAUCAGUGUGUGUGUUAGUGGAAGCGUCUGGAAAGGCGUGCGAUACAGGGUGACAGCCCCGUACACAAAAAUGCACAUACUGUGAGCUCGAUGAGUAGGGCGGGACACGUGGUAUCCUGUCUGAAUAUGGGGGGACCAUCCUCCAAGGCUAAAUACUCCUGACUGACCGAUAGUGAACCAGUACCGUGAGGGAAAGGCGAAAAGAACCCCGGCGAGGGGAGUGAAAAAGAACCUGAAACCGUGUACGUACAAGCAGUGGGAGCACGCUUAGGCGUGUGACUGCGUACCUUUUGUAUAAUGGGUCAGCGACUUAUAUUCUGUAGCAAGGUUAACCGAAUAGGGGAGCCGAAGGGAAACCGAGUCUUAACUGGGCGUUAAGUUGCAGGGUAUAGACCCGAAACCCGGUGAUCUAGCCAUGGGCAGGUUGAAGGUUGGGUAACACUAACUGGAGGACCGAACCGACUAAUGUUGAAAAAUUAGCGGAUGACUUGUGGCUGGGGGUGAAAGGCCAAUCAAACCGGGAGAUAGCUGGUUCUCCCCGAAAGCUAUUUAGGUAGCGCCUCGUGAAUUCAUCUCCGGGGGUAGAGCACUGUUUCGGCAAGGGGGUCAUCCCGACUUACCAACCCGAUGCAAACUGCGAAUACCGGAGAAUGUUAUUACGGGAGACACACGGCGGGUGCUAACGUCCGUCGUGAAGAGGGAAACAACCCAGACCGCCAGCUAAGGUCCCAAAGUCAUGGUUAAGUGGGAAACGAUGUGGGAAGGCCCAGACAGCCAGGAUGUUGGCUUAGAAGCAGCCAUCAUUUAAAGAAAGCGUAAUAGCUCACUGGUCGAGUCGGCCUGCGCGGAAGAUGUAACGGGGCUAAACCAUGCACCGAAGCUGCGGCAGCGACGCUUAUGCGUUGUUGGGUAGGGGAGCGUUCUGUAAGCCUGUGAAGGUGUGCUGUGAGGUAUGCUGGAGGUAUCAGAAGUGCGAAUGCUGACAUAAGUAACGAUAAAGCGGGUGAAAAGCCCGCUCGCCGGAAGACCAAGGGUUCCUGUCCAACGUUAAUCGGGGCAGGGUGAGUCGACCCCUAAGGCGAGGCCGAAAGGCGUAGUCGAUGGGAAACAGGUUAAUAUUCCUGUACUUGGUGUUACUGCGAAGGGGGGACGGAGAAGGCUAUGUUGGCCGGGCGACGGUUGUCCCGGUUUAAGCGUGUAGGCUGGUUUUCCAGGCAAAUCCGGAAAAUCAAGGCCGAGGCGUGAUGACGAGGCACUACGGUGCUGAAGCAACAAAUGCCCUGCUUCCAGGAAAAGCCUCUAAGCAUCAGGUAACAUCAAAUCGUACCCCAAACCGACACAGGUGGUCAGGUAGAGAAUACCAAGGCGCUUGAGAGAACUCGGGUGAAGGAACUAGGCAAAAUGGUGCCGUAACUUCGGGAGAAGGCACGCUGAUACGUAGGUGAAGCGACUUGCUCGUGGAGCUGAAAUCAGUCGAAGAUACCAGCUGGCUGCAACUGUUUAUUAAAAACACAGCACUGUGCAAACACGAAAGUGGACGUAUACGGUGUGACGCCUGCCCGGUGCCGGAAGGUUAAUUGAUGGGGUUAGCGCAAGCGAAGCUCUUGAUCGAAGCCCCGGUAAACGGCGGCCGUAACUAUAACGGUCCUAAGGUAGCGAAAUUCCUUGUCGGGUAAGUUCCGACCUGCACGAAUGGCGUAAUGAUGGCCAGGCUGUCUCCACCCGAGACUCAGUGAAAUUGAACUCGCUGUGAAGAUGCAGUGUACCCGCGGCAAGACGGAAAGACCCCGUGAACCUUUACUAUAGCUUGACACUGAACAUUGAGCCUUGAUGUGUAGGAUAGGUGGGAGGCUUUGAAGUGUGGACGCCAGUCUGCAUGGAGCCGACCUUGAAAUACCACCCUUUAAUGUUUGAUGUUCUAACGUGGACCCGUGAUCCGGGUUGCGGACAGUGUCUGGUGGGUAGUUUGACUGGGGCGGUCUCCUCCUAAAGAGUAACGGAGGAGCACGAAGGUUGGCUAAUCCUGGUCGGACAUCAGGAGGUUAGUGCAAUGGCAUAAGCCAGCUUGACUGCGAGCGUGACGGCGCGAGCAGGUGCGAAAGCAGGUCAUAGUGAUCCGGUGGUUCUGAAUGGAAGGGCCAUCGCUCAACGGAUAAAAGGUACUCCGGGGAUAACAGGCUGAUACCGCCCAAGAGUUCAUAUCGACGGCGGUGUUUGGCACCUCGAUGUCGGCUCAUCACAUCCUGGGGCUGAAGUAGGUCCCAAGGGUAUGGCUGUUCGCCAUUUAAAGUGGUACGCGAGCUGGGUUUAGAACGUCGUGAGACAGUUCGGUCCCUAUCUGCCGUGGGCGCUGGAGAACUGAGGGGGGCUGCUCCUAGUACGAGAGGACCGGAGUGGACGCAUCACUGGUGUUCGGGUUGUCAUGCCAAUGGCACUGCCCGGUAGCUAAAUGCGGAAGAGAUAAGUGCUGAAAGCAUCUAAGCACGAAACUUGCCCCGAGAUGAGUUCUCCCUGACCCUUUAAGGGUCCUGAAGGAACGUUGAAGACGACGACGUUGAUAGGCCGGGUGUGUAAGCGCAGCGAUGCGUUGAGCUAACCGGUACUAAUGAACCGUGAGGCUUAACCUUACAACGCCGAAG